UAAGUACCUGGAAUGGACCAUCACCCAUUAGAAUCAAUUUGGUCUUCCUUUAAGAAGGAAACCGAUCCUUCCUAAGGUCCCCCUACACAUAAUCCCCGAUUCAAGAAUAAACUUCUUUCUCCCUUUGUUAGCCCUCUUUGCAAUCUUUUGGUUUUUCUUUUCAAGCCGUAGCCUCACCUUUUCAUGUAACCUCCUCAUAGCUUUUUCCCACUUUCUCCCAUCUAAUCUUAUCAUAAGAUUACUUGGCAAAGGCUUUAAAUCCAAAGGGGUAAGGGGGUUGAGGCCGUG
rnacentral:lncRNA from 1 species